rnacentral:rRNA from 1 species
UACGAAGGGGGCUAGCGUUGUUCGGAAUUACUGGGCGUAAAGGGCGCGUAGGCGGCGUGUCAAGUCAGGCGUGAAAGCCCCGGGCUCAACCUGGGAACCGCGCUUGAGACUGGCAUGCUCGAGUUCGGGAGAGGAUGGUGGAAUUCCCAGUGUAGAGGUGAAAUUCGUAGAUAUUGGGAAGAACACCGAUGGCGAAGGCAGCCAUCUGGACCGACACUGACGCUGAGGCGCGAAAG